rnacentral:rRNA from 1 species
CCUGGGAAACCCGAAAGAUCGAAUGGGGAGAUUCACCGUCAGUCGACGUUCGGCUUCACGGUGGUUCGUGAUGCGCGCGCCGUCCUCUUCGCGGGGUCUCGGCGACGUCGCACGCGUCCGCCGUGCCUCGAAAUGUCCGACGCCGUCGGCGUGCACUUCUCCCCUAGUAGGACGUCGCGACCCGUUGGGUGUCGGUCUACGGCCCGGGCUGUCGCCUGUUCCGUCGCUUCGGCGUCGCGGGGCAGACACCCGGUGUAUCCUGGCCGGCUGCUCGACGGUACUCGCACGGUAUAUGGCCGCAAUCGAACUGCGUCACACGACAGGCCCGCCGCAAGCGCGGUCAGCGUUUCCCGGAGGCACGGACCCAGCGCCGUCUCCGGACCUGGCCCGCUGUUCGCCGGCGGUGUUCCUCUGACAGGCCACGCGCGCUCGCUUCGGCGUUCGCGCUUCGAUACCGAUCGGCGACGCUACUGCUUUGGGUACUUCCAGG